GAUGAACGCUGGCGGCGUGCCUAAUACAUGCAAGUCGAGCGAACGGACGAGAAGCUUGCUUCUCUGAUGUUAGCGGCGGACGGGUGAGGAACACGUGGAUAACCUACCUAUAAGACUGGGAUAACUUCGGGAAACCGUAGCUAAUACCGGAUAAUAUUUUGAACCGCAUGGUUCAAAAGUGAAAGACGGUCUUGCUGUCACUUAUAGAUGGAUCCGCGCUGCAUUAGCUAGUUGGUAAGGUAACGGCUUACCAAGGCAACGAUGCAUAGCCGACCUGAGAGGGUGAUCGGCCACACUGGAACUGAGACACGGUCCAGACUCCUACGGGAGGCAGCAGUAGGGAAUCUUCCGCAAUGGGCGAAAGCCUGACGGAGCAACGCCGCGUGAGUGAUGAAGGUCUUCGGAUCGUAAAACUCUGUUAUUAGGGAAGAACAGAUGUGUAAGUAACUGUGCACAUCUUGACGGUACCUACUCAGAAAGCCACGGCUAACUACGUG
rnacentral:rRNA from 1 species